GACAGAGGGUGCAAACGUUGUUCGGAAUUACUGGGCGUAAAGCGCGUGUAGGCGGCUCUGCAAGUCGGGUGUGAAAUCCCAUGGCUCAACCAUGGAAGUGCACUCGAAACUGCAGGGCUAGAGUCCUGGAGAGGAAGGUGGAAUGCUUGGUGUAGAGGUGAAAUUCGUAGAUAUCAAGCGGAACACCGGUGGCGAAGGCGGUUCUCUGGGCAUGAUCUGACGCUGAGGAGCGAAAGUGUGGGGAGCGAACAGG
rnacentral:rRNA from 1 species